CUUUAAAGGCGACAUCGAAUGCUUGUAUCACACAUAUAUGUUAGUUAUGGAGGUCUACUUACAUAUAUUAACUUGUUUUCAUGGUUCAAAACCUUCUAAUCGCUGCAAACGAGCCGAUCAAAAUAUCUCCUCACUGACGCUCUCGUCAGCCGCGCUGUUUCAGACCAAAACCACCCCCCCAGAACGUGGACUGUGUUGUGAUUGGCCAGCCAACGAGAGCUUUCCCACUUUCCUGUGAUUGGCCAGGUACCUGGAAGUGACGUGUUUAGAACGUCAGCUCUCAGAUACGCAGCUCUUUUUUUUUUUUUUUUUUAAACAACUUUAUUGAAAUACGGUUACAUUACAAAAGUGAAGAAAGAAACAUAUUACAUUAGUGAACAAACAGAGCAAAAACAGGAGAAAUAAAACUUUGCCAGGGUAGCUGAUGAGUUAUUAAAAAGAGAAAGAAAAGGAAGACCAAACAUUGACAGUCUUAAUUGCUUUUUUGUUAUUAGAGCCAGAAAUCAAAUAAAUCAGAUACGCAGCCCUCCCUCUGGCACGAUUGAUGCUCUGCUCGUCAUUAUCAAAACAUUGUUAAAUGGCUGUGUCACGACCCCGCGCCGUAAUCCCUUACACAUUUGACCCGGAGUCUGACCCAGAGACAGAAGAUACUGUCGCAAGUGAAACACCUCCACAACAAAGACUGCUGCAGGACGCCUCAGAAUGGUGCACUUGUGGGAACUGCAUGACGAUGCCCACAGAAGGGGAGAACGUCUGCUGUAGAGAAACACUUAAGGUUAUCCGAAGAAUGAAUGAACUUCCGGACACACCAACAUGCAUGAUCUACCAUCCAGGCCUGGAGCCUAACUGCUUGAACCCAUACACACUGCAGAACAUGAACAACAUCUACCGG